rnacentral:rRNA from 1 species
UACGUAGGGUGCAAGCGUUGUCCGGAAUUAUUGGGCGUAAAGAGCUCGUAGGCGGUCUGUCGCGUCGGCUGUGAAAACCCGGAGCUCAACUCCGGGCCUGCAGUCGAUACGGGCAGACUGGAGUUCGGCAGGGGAGACUGGAAUUCCUGGUGUAGCGGUGAAAUGCGCAGAUAUCAGGAGGAACACCGGUGGCGAAGGCGGCUCUCUGGACGGUGACUGACGCUGAGACGCGAAAGCGUGGGGAGCAAACAGG